UAUUGCCACUGGAUGGUCAUUGAUCUAAACUUUUACUAAACGUAUAACACUACAUCAACGGAAAAGAAUGGAUUCUGUAAUGACGGGAAACACAACCGAUAGGAUUAACAAUGCAUUGGCAGCACUGAGGAGUGAAAUGUUUGACCUCAGACAGCAAGAUGGCCAACUGAUGAAACAGCUUAUUUGUAUCAACGAAAACAUUAAAACUUUGUCGAAGAGACCGAUUCCUGCCAGACCAAUUCGAAAGAGAAUGUCUUUGGUGAAAGGGCGAAGGAAAUUCAUCAAUCCAAAUGAAUCCAUUCCAGAAGAAGAUUCUAGUUCUGCAGAUUCCGACAGUGACGACAGCGUUUCUGGUACAGAGAACUACCAAUGAUGGAGGAACCUGGUAGCGGUCACAUGACACAUCUUCAAAUGAAUCCAUCCUAAGUGGAGUCAAUCUGUUCGUUUAAAUGACAGGACGGAACCAAUCCGAACGAGGAACUCUCUAGCUUUAAAGAAUCUUCUAGCUAACAGACAUGGCCCAUCGGGAUCAGUUACCAUGACGAUAUUUAGGUUACCGUACCGGAUCUGUGCAUCACACCGAUGAUUAUAGCCAAUAUCUGCCACUGUUUGGACACCGCAAUGUCAUAUUUUUAACACAGAGGGCAAUGAAGCAGCACUGAAUCGUGAUUUAACACUGUGGAAGAACUCAGUCUGGACUUAAAUCGCUGUUUUCUGAAUCAGGCCAUUAUUUUACGGUGUUUUACUGAAGAACAUACACGAUCUAAAAGAAAUUUAUGUUCAAACCGCGCUGUAUAGGACAUGGUUAUUUCUUUCAGAUCUGACAAUGACUUUUAAACUUUGCGUUCGCUCCCAAUGUCUCAAGAGCGAAAAACGUAAACACCUUAGUCUUUCUUAUAAAUUACUUUUGUUCACCUCUGUCGAUUACCUGCACGUGUUCGUAUUAUGUUAAUGUAUUUAACAGUGCAUCAGAGGAAAAUAGUAAACAAAGCACAUUUGUAUAUCAAGUGUGUAGUGCACCAACUAUAUAUAAUUAUGCGCAUUUAUUGGAAUAAGAAUAUGUGUUUGCGUCAUAAAUGUUAAUGCGUAGGUGUGAUAAAUUGUGACAUUAAGGAUGUGAUGUCAAGAGGCAAUAGGGCAUAUUGCAAUUAA
rnacentral:lncRNA from 1 species